rnacentral:misc_RNA from 1 species
AAAAUAUUCUCUUCUUAUUAAAAUAAUAUUAUACAAAAUUUAUUUCUUUAUUUUUCUCUUUCCUCCCAUAAAAAAGUUCCCAGCUUAGCUUGUGAAUACCCUCACGCUUGAUGCAAGUGUUCGUGAGACGUGUGCAAUGAUUUUAUUACAGGUGGCGUGUGAUGCUAACCGUCGAUUUAAGUAUGACGUCAUGGCUGAUAUUUGAAAGUUCCACGUGGUAUAAGGCCGUUGAGCUUUUGACAAACUUUGGGGGUUGGCGGGUAAUCCAAAAGUUGUUAAUAUAGGACUCGUUGUGGGUGGUAUCUUUUGACUGGGCCGAGCUGCUGAGUCAACUCAGUGGUCAUUGGGUGGACAUUUUUCCAAUGACGAUGAGGGUGGACAAAAUCGGUGACUCUGUGGUUAGCCUGAUAAGCCGAUUCAAGAUUCGAAUCUUGGAUUGUGCUGAAAACUGAAGAUCCUUUUCCUUUAUGUAGCUUUGUUGGUUUCUUUGCUACAAAUUUGACCCUUGACAGUGACAGCUUUGUCACAAAAUGCGACAGAUAUUUUCCAACCGCCAGAGAAGGAAACAGGCCACUUGUAACAGAAGUGUGACCAAAUAGAGUGGCGAUGACGAUAAAAUGGGAUUACUAUUAGUAAGAUUAUAAACAGAAAAUUACAUUAUAUAAAUGCCACUCACAUGUGUGAUGGGGUUCAUGUGCCAGAAUUAUCACGUGAUACUGAUUCCUGUGCACUGUACUAUCAAAAAUUUUUCUUAUCCAAGAAUUUGUUGUUAGAAAACUUAGAACAGUCUAAUAAUCGCUUGGAGUUUUAAAUGGGUUUAAUCGAUUAAAAUAUGUUCAUAUUUAUUUUGAUUGGAGAUCAUCUUCGUGUUAUUUAUAUUGUAAUGACAGUCUUAAUACAAAAAAGAUAAAAAGGAGUAGAACACAAGUACAACAAUUCAAUAUUUCUAUGCUGCAGAUUCAGUGCUUUAAAACUUUUUCAAGGAAAUUAUGAUCUAGAAUGAUUAUAUGAAAUUCGCUAAGACAUGGUUAGAGCUGGUGUUUCCCAUUUUAAUUAGUUACUGUCAUUUUGAUUUCUAGUAAAACUCAUGGUCUAAUCAGGGUGAGCCCUGAUUGUUCUGUUGGUUUCCUCUAAGAACAAGUCCUUGUGGUAUUCUGCUAUCAUUGGAACCUCUCUCAUAAUGACUGAAGUUUAAGUUGGGCAGUGAAAUCCCUGCUGUGAAUAAGACUACAUUGUACUUCUUUUAAUGGGUUCGGAGAGGUAAUCGGGUAUCCUUGCUUUCCAACUGAAUGUGAAUCAAUUUGCAGGGAGUUGUGAUUUAUAUGAGUAUUUAUGAUGCCAUGAAAUUAUUAAUGACCUUAAUCUUUUCAUGUUUAAGUAUGAUCAUAGUUGCAGAGCUGCUAUGGAUUCAGCCACGUUAAGCAUUGUCUUAUUGUUCAAAGGAGGUCCUAUACCACAUUAUUCUUUCUGCCUAUUUUCACUGAACCGUUUCAAAUUUAGAACAGAGAAUCUAUGGACAAGCUUCAACUGUUGUAGUAAACUUUUUAUUGACUCUUCUUUUUCCUUCAUUGCAUCAUCAGAGGUCUGCCUAUUAAGUCCAAGCAUGGCGUGUAGUCUUUUCAAAGUGAUUAAUUUAAGUUUAUUUUUAAUGUGCCAAGACAAAUGUGUGACUUAUAGUCUAAGAUAUUGAUGCUAAAGGAUCCUAUGUCAUGGCACGGCUGGCUCCAUUUUUUCAUUUCUCAUUUGGGAAUGCAGGAUCUCAAGAAGUGCAGCCCA